UACAGAGGUCCCGAGCGUUGUUCGGAUUUACUGGGCGUAAAGGGUGCGUAGGUGGUCGGGUAAGUCUCAUGUGAAAUCCCGCAGCUUAACUGCGGAACGGCAUGGGAUACUAUCCGGCUCGAGGAUUGGAGGGGGGACUGGAAUUCCCGGUGUAGCAGUGAAAUGCGUAGAUAUCGGGAGGAACACCAGUGGCGAAGGCGAGUCCCUGGACAAUUCCUGACGCUGAGGCACGAAGGCCAGGGGAGCAAACAGG
rnacentral:rRNA from 1 species